CUUACCAUGCAGUCGAACGAUGAAGCCUUCGGGUGGAUUAGUGGCGAACGGGUGAGUAACACGUGGGAAAUCUGCCCUGAACUCUGGGACAAGCCUUGGAAACGAGGUCUAAUACCGGAUAUGACCGUGGAGCGCAUGCUCUGUGGUGGAAAGCUCCGGCGGUUCAGGAUGAUCCCGCGGCCUAUCAGCUUGUUGGUGGGGUAAUGGCCUACCAAGGCGACGACGGGUAGCCGGCCUGAGAGGGCGACCGGCCACACUGGGACUGAGACACGGCCCAGACUCCUACGGGAGGCAGCAGUGGGGAAUAUUGCACAAUGGGCGAAAGCCUGAUGCAGCGACGCCGCGUGAGGGAUGACGGCCUUCGGGUUGUAAACCUCUUUCAGCAGGGAAGAAGCGCAAGUGACGGUACCUGCAGAAGAAGCACCGGCUAACUACGUGCCAGCAGCCGCGGUAAUACGUAGGGUGCGAGCGUUGUCCGGAAUUAUUGGGCGUAAAGAGCUCGUAGGCGGCCUGUCGCGUCGGAUGUGAAAGCCCGGGGCUUAACCCCGGGUCUGCAUUCGAUACGGGCAGGCUAGAGUGUGGUAGGGGAGAUCGGAAUUCCUGGUGUAGCGGUGAAAUGCGCAGAUAUCAGGAGGAACACCGGUGGCGAAGGCGGAUCUCUGGGCCAUUACUGACGCUGAGGAGCGAAAGCGUGGGGAGCGAACAGGAUUAGAUACCCUGGUAGUCCACGCCGUAAACGUUGGGAACUAUGUGUUGGCGACAUUCCACGUCGUCGUGCCGCAGCUAACGCAUUAAGUCCC
rnacentral:rRNA from 1 species